UACAGGGGGGGCAAGCGUUGUUCGGAAUUACUGGGCGUAAGGGCUCGUUGGUGGCCAACUAAGUCCGGCGUGAAAUCCCUCAGCUUAACUGGGGAACUGCGUCUGAUACUGGAUGGCUUGAGUUUGGGAGAGGGAUGCGGAAUUCCAGGUGUAGCGGUGAAAUGCGUAGAUAUCUGGAGGAACACCGGUGGCGAAGGCGGCAUCCUGGACCAACACUGACACUGAGGAGCGAAAGCCAGGGGAGCAAACGGG
rnacentral:rRNA from 1 species